rnacentral:rRNA from 1 species
GACGAACGCUGGCGGCGUGCUUAACACAUGCAAGUCGAACGGUGAAGCGCCUUCCUUUUUGGUGGGUGUGGAUGAGUGGCGAACGGGUGAGUAACACGUGAGUAGCCUGCCCCCUUCUUCUGGAUAACCGCAUGAAAGUGUGGCUAAUACGGGAUAUUCUGGGUCUGUCGCAUGAUGGGUCUGGGAAAGAUAUUGUUUCGGUGGGGGAUGGGCUCGCGGCCUAUCAGCUUGUUGGUGGGGUGAUGGCCUACCAAGGCGGUGACGGGUAGCCGGCCUGAGAGGGUGGACGGUCACACUGGGACUGAGACACGGCCCAGACUCCUACGGGAGGCAGCAGUGGGGAAUAUUGCACAAUGGGCGCAAGCCUGAUGCAGCGACGCCGCGUGAGGGAUGGAGGCCUUCGGGUUGUGAACCUCUUUCGCCAGUGAAGCAGGCCUGCCUCGUUUGUGGGCGGGUUGACGGUAGCUGGAUAAGAAGCGCCGGCUAACUACGUG